rfam:Lingula anatina scaffold7, whole genome shotgun sequence.
AGUGUCAGUGAUGAUUUUUUUCACCAUCUUUCGUUUGAAGAAUUAUGUAACCAAAACAUGCACUACCAACUGAGACACU